GGACCAGAGGGUCCUGGCAAUCAGGAAUGAGGCCAGAAGUAAGCGAAGAGAACUUUUACCAUACAGCUUCCUGGUUUUCCAGAAAUGAGCGACAUCCCCACCACCACAGCUCUGAGCUGCUCCUGCCACCAUAGCUUUCCCGCCGUGAUGGACUCUAGCCUCUGAACCACAAGCCAAAGCAACCCUUUCCUCCUUUCAAUUGCUUUGCAUCAGGUAUUUUGACCACAGUAAUGAUAAAAAGGACUAAGAGAUGUUAAAAAUGAGAAAGUGCUGCUCAAUAAAUUUCCAUCCAUGAUCUCUGA